GGACGACUGUCUUCCGCCUCAACUGUGGAGCCUCGCCGACCGUUAGUCCUCACAGCCACCUCAGGGGCAACCGACGCAGCGCCACCUCAUCGUGUCCGCCAUCUUGGGGCGACGGGCAGAAGUCCAGGACUAGGAGCCUCAGCCGGCGGACGCCAGGAAACAGUCAGGCUAAGGAGUUGGCUGAGACGAUGUGGUCUGACAAGCAAAAUUGACUUUCUUGUAGUACAGAUCUGCUGGAUUGCUUCAGCUUUCCUACGUCUGACUUUGUAAGAUUUGUUUCAGCUUUUGCAUGACUGAGAAUGUCUU
rnacentral:lncRNA from 1 species